CCCCGCCAGGGAGCCCCUGCCUGCGACCGCCGCCGCCAGGAUGCGCCUAGCCGAGGACGCCGACACCGGGGAACGCCGCCGCCAGGACGCCCCUACCCGCGAGCGCCGCCGCCAGGACGCGCCCAGCCGAGGACACUGACACCGGGGAGCGCCACCGCCGUCACAGGAGCAGGAAUUUCCAGCACUGUAGGUACAGGGUCUUCUCCUCCCCUCUCCGUUGCUGUGUCAUGCGAUUUGAUUCCGGCCGUUCACUUUUAUUUCUGGUAUCCUCAGAUUCCUGGUAUUAUGUGUCAUGUUGUUCUAUACUAUCCAUGUCUGCUAGAAACAAUCUCUGCCAGCAGGCUAUGGUUUUGUCAAAGUUGAGUAAGUAUUAGCAUCUCAGUCAUUAUAUAGACAAAAUUCAUCCAAUAGACAAAAUUAUAUGGGAUUUUGUUCUCCCAUGCUUGACCUGAUAGACUUGUAUCUGAUUUGCAUUUAGCAAAAAUAAGUCAUUAUAUAGACAAAAUUCAUCUGAUUGGCUUUUGAAAAAAUAUAUAAAGUCCUCUCUGAAUAGCAUGUAUGAGCGUGAUAACUGAACCAGUAGCAGUUAGUAAAUGUCUGUUAUCCUGUUAAUAACUCCUUUGUCUCUAAUGCAUCUCACGCAUUGCACACUGGACAUGAGGAGAUAGAACAGGCAAGUUUGCAGAAAGUAGGCCUUCAAGAAGAUGUCAGAACAGCAGGGGAUCCGCGACCGGAUCAUUCUCCGUCAGUUCACUCAGUGCCUUCAGGCCAUGGAGCUUGUAAUCCAGAGCUGUUUUUGUGAGGCUUAUCGUGAUUUCAGAAACGUCAAAAAUAUAGUUGGUACCUAUAUUUUUGGUUGCUGCUUUCUGGCGAGAUUUAUCUACUUGGGAGAAAUGUCGAGAACCGGAUUGUAUUUCAGUAAGUAUGUUUAAUGUUCUGUCAUCUAAGAACUCCAUAAGUGACUUAUCUCUAACGGUUAAUGCUGUAUGUUGUUUUUGUAUGUUGUGAAUAUUUUGUAUUCUAUCACUCUAACAGAAAUUUUGGGAGGCUAAUGGAAACUGCAAUUUAGCCAUUGCUGCAGCUAGGCUUGGGUAUAUGAAAAUUUUCUUCUUGAUGUGCUUCAAGUAGAGGGCAUUAAUGUUGCUGGAUUCAUUGAAAAUACCAAUGCUAUUGCAUGCAACCAGGUCUUUGAAACACUUCUAUGCUAGGUUCUUGGCAGGUUAAAACUUGCUUUUCUCGAACAAAAAUCUUAUUCAUGUUUCAAUUACAUUUACAAAAUUCAUGUCAGCCUAAUCCUUUAUUUUUGUUUAUUGUGCUUGGUCAUUUAUAUGUUUUGCUUUCUUUGCAAUGCCAGCCAUGCAGACUUCAGUGGAGGCCAGCUUUUCUUUCCUUUUUGAAAUGAAUUCGCGAAGAGAGCUGCGGACUAUAUUAAAUAAUGAAGAAUCUAGACCAAGCAAUACAACAGAGCUACAACAACGAGGACGACUGAAAGCAAUAAAACCUAGAAAACGGUUGGCAAUGGCAUCAUGUUGUAUUUUAAUGGCAUGCUGAAUCUCCUUUUAUCAUCUUUUUAGGAUAAUAAUCGUGGGAGGAGCGUUGCAAGGGGCCAGAACCAGGAUAGAAAACGGGGAUCGGCACAGAAAACAUGAAAGACAUCAGAGCUCCAUAAAUAAAGUUGUGUUGGCAUUCAGGCAUAUUCUGAAAUUUAUGAGGAACUGAACCUUAAGAUCACUGGGUAGCCAUGUUGUGAAUUAUAAUCACUGUGUCUGUGUACCAUAAGCAUCUAUUCUCAACACGGAUACAACUAUUAUGAAUUUUCUUUGGGAUCUUGGAGCAGCAUGAUUCUAAUGUGAUCUCUAAUUCAACCUUUUUUCCCAAGAAAUUCUACCUAUAAGGUGCAUUGUGAUUUUGAACUAACAAGUUCAGACAAAGAUCAAGAAGAGACAGACUUAUGUCAUUUAAAUGUCAGUCCCUUUUUUAACGAACAAGCUCAAGGCCAUCCAUAUGAGUUUUUUUUGUAUAAAAGUUUUUCUUCGGAAGCAGCAAACUCUAAGACCUGAGAUAAUUGAGAUGGAUGGUCCUUGAUCAUGCAAGGUUUGACUCUGGGUAACAUAGUGGAGUUGGCUCCGAAUUGGAUCAGUUCAUGUACUCAGCUAGGUGAAUGGAUGAAGCUGAGAGAGGCGGGUGCUGAAUCCACUCUAGGCAUGGUAGGCCAAGAUACGUACCUGGACUGAGGAUGACAAAUGUGCUUCGAGCUGCACCUACACACCAAUGUUGUCCCUAUAUUAUAAUAUAGUUCUUCUUUUGUUAUUUGACCGGAGGAGUCUAGGGACAUUGAUGAUACUUGAGGUAGGAUGUGCUUAGUUCAGUGCUAAGAAACAGCUUUGACAAAGCUCAGUAAGCUAAGUAUUUCAAAUUUGAUAGAAUUAACUUUGAAUUUAAUAUAAUCCGUAGCGUUAGCACGGGCAUUAUACUAGUAA